rnacentral:lncRNA from 1 species
GAGGAGAGAACUUAAAUUGCAAGGAGAACCCAAGCAGAGGUCACAAGAGAACCUAAGUCGCAAGCACAGUACGUCUAUCUACCCCUCAAAUUUGGAAGAAGGUGAAAAAAAAUUAAGGAUGAAAGGAUGUAUAUUUGAAAAAGGACAAGAAGUGAGAGAUACAAAAGUAAUUGGACUUUGAUGAUAAUGAUGAAUGGUACUGAUUGAUGAGUCUGGUGAGAUUUUUGGAAUGGUGUCGUGGGUGUGCUCCAGGUGCUGCAAGCGAAGAGCAUGGGGGUUGUCUAAAGAUGUGAUGACUCGGUGAGCGUUGAUGAGGCUCACAGAGAAAAAAAACGGCUUGGUGAGCGGUGACGAGGCUCACGAAGGAAAGAAGAUCAAGUCAUCGUGGUGUGCUGCCCAUAGGAUAGGAUCUGUAACAGAAAUAAGGUAAUGAAGAAAAAGGAAGAACUGUGGUCUUCAACAACGAAAGCCUUUCUUUAUCAAAAAAAACAAAUAUUUUUAAAUAAAGGUUAGAAGGAGAGAAGUAGCAAGAGGGUUAGACUAUGAGCUGGUGCAGCGGCGGCAGCAACAGGGCCACAGCAGCAGCAAACUUGCUAGGGUCCUGCAUUUGCACUCCACAAUUAAUCACAUGCACUAGCAAUGGAAUAGAAAAUCAAUCACACAAACAAACGAAAACAAUCAGUUGGGAAUAUAGCACAGUACCAAUAUAAACACCCACAUGGGUGAAGGAUGAAAAAACGCCAAAGACUCUCAAUUUAGCGGAUGAUUUCAAAUAUUAGCAACUAAGGUUGUGAAACAUAGGGUCGUGAAGAAAAUAGGGUUUGCAAACAAGUAGCAAAGAGACACCCUAGAACUAGGCUCUGAUACCAAGUCAAACAAAGUAGGGCAAAUACUUACUUAUAUAUUCUUCU